rnacentral:snRNA from 1 species
GGAUGUGAGGGUGAUCUGGCUGUGACAUCUGUCACUUGUUGAUCACCAGGGUUGAUUCAGCUGACCUGACUGGCUGGCUGGCUGGGUGGAUGUCACCUUCCUCCGUCAGUCCUCAUGUGCAUCCGUGUGACCACCCCAGACAGAGGAGGACCGAUCUUUGGUCAAGAGUAUAAAAGUGGGUGCUCUUCCCUGCUGAAGUCUCCAAAUAAACUCUCUUUUCAUAUGCCCAUUGUUUUGGAUUAGGUCUUUGAAUUUCAAGGCCUGAUUUC